rnacentral:lncRNA from 1 species
GGCCCCAGAGGAAGUUGUCGGGUGGCAGCAGAGUUGGAACGAGAUAGGUAGUUCCCCGUUUCCAGGACCCCCCCAGACGGCCUGCUGGGACAGUGUACAUGAGUCCGGAAUGGGCUGGACCAGGGUCAGGCUAGCCCAGACAUCAGGUACGGGCUGUGAUGAGGAGGAGUGGGCUAGUCCCCCGGGUUGGUCACCGCUGAACUCUCAGAGACAAUCAAGCUUUCGAUGAUCAUGUGAUGAGGUUUCCAGUCAGUUCCAGGUGAAGAUAUCGCUGGCCAUCAAGAAGCUACCCUCUCCCCACCAGACAGAGCAGGAUGAGAGUUCUGUAAUCCUCAAUAGGAGGGAGCACUCAACUGAACAAGUGCAGGAACAGGCUGGCUGCUUCAGCACUGACAGAGGCAAAUUCCAUUUGCUUGGACCCACUGCAUUCCAUCCCUUGUGGAAGAGAGCAUGUAAGCAAGUGAGUGCAG